AUGGGAGUCAAAGAGGAGAUACUUGAUGUAGUCUCUCUCUUCACUUGCAUACCCACCACGGAAGCAGUGGAGACUGUCAGAAAACGACUACAAGAAGACAGCUCCUUGGAAGACAGGACCAACUUCACACCCGAUCAGAUUUGCACACUGUUAGACCUCUGCCUUACCACAACAUACUUCAAAUACAACGAAGGCUUCUACAGACAAAAACAUGGCUGUGCCAUGGGCUCCCCUGUGUCACCUAUUGUAGCCAACCUUUACAUGGAGGAAGUGGAAAGAAAGGCUCUUGGCUCUUUUAAAGGGAGAGUACCCAGCCACUGGUACAGAUAUGUGGACGACACCUGGGUCAAAAUCAAGACACAAGAAGUGGAAUCCUUCACUGCGCACAUUAACGCCGUGGAUAAAAACAUCAAGUUCACCAGGGAAGACACUAAGGACAACUGUUUGCCUUUCCUGGACUGCGCUGUGCACAUUGAAGAGAAUGGCAACCUCAACAUUGAAGUUUACCGGAAGCCCACACACACGGACCAGUAUCUCCUCUUUGACUCCCAUCACCCUCUGGAACACAAACUUGGAGUAAUUAGGACCCUACACCACCGGGCAGAACUUGUUCCCUCUAAGCCUGAGGGGAAAAAGAAGGAACACACACAUGUAAAGGAAGCACUGAAAACAUGUGGUUAUCCUAACUGGGCGUUCAUAAAGUCAGCAAAGAGGCACAGAAAAGAAGAUCAGACACCAGCGAGGGAGGAUAAGAAAGACAGACGCAACAACGUUGUCAUCCCCUAUGUAGCCGGUGUAUCAGAGAAACUCAGGAGAGUUUUCUCCAAGCAUGACAUCCCAGUGUACUUCAGACCCAGCAACACACUCAGACACAAACUGGUUCACCCGAAAGACAAAACUCCAAAACACAGACUGAACAACGUGGUGUAUGCUGUACAGUGCAGUGAGGAAUGCCCGGACCUCUACAUUGGAGAGACCAAACAGCCACUUCACAAGCGCAUGGCACAACAUAGAAGAGCCACCUCCACAGGACAAGACUCAGCAGUCCACCUGCAUCUUAAGGAUAAAGGUCACUCUUUCGAGGAUGCCAAUGUUCACAUAUUGGACAGAGAGGACAGAUGGUUUGAAAGAGGAGUGAAAGAGGCCAUCUAUGUCCACUGUGAGCGACCAUCUUUGAACAGAGGCGGUGGUUUACGACACCAACUGUCUGCCAUCUAUAAUCCAGUUUUGAGUUCCCUCCCCAGACGCCUUAACGCCCACUCACAUCCUGGGCCAUCUGACCUCAGGAAAUCACAUGAUAGGGUGGGGCCAGGUUUCACAAUGAGCUCACCCGAAACCCUGGCUGAUUAG
ensembl:lncRNA